CAGAAUGGUCAGAUGACCAUGUGAUGCAAUGCCUUCUUUAUUGUACUGAUUCCGAAAAGAAAGGUGCAAUAGAACUCAAGUUACUAUGGAGGUGGAGGUGAGGGCGAGGAAGACGACAUUUAUAUCCGACAAUCAGUUUGGGUUCAUGUCGAGUCGCUCCACUUCGGAAGCUAUCCACCUUAGUAGGAUGUUGGUGGAACAGUACAGGGAUAAGAAGAAGGAUCUGCACAUGGUGGUUAUUGACUUGGAGAAAGCAUAUGACAAGGUACCUAGGGAGGUGCUCUGGAGAUGUCUUGUGGCAAAGGGCGUGCCGGUAGGUUACAUAAGAGCGAUCAAGGACAUUAUAAUAGAGCUAAGACUAAGGUUCAGACUGUGGGAGGAGACUUGAAGCAUUUUCCGGUUAAGGGAUUACACCAAGGUUCUGCGCUUAGCCCGUUCUUGUUUGUUUUGGUGAUGGAUGCAUUGACACACCAUAUUCAAGGGGUUGUGCCAUGAUGUAUGUUAUUUGCUGAUGACAUAGUUCUAAUUGAUGAGACGAGAGUCGGUGUUAACGUGAGAUUGGAGGUUUCGAGUCUAAGAGUUUCAAAUUAAGCAGGUCUAAGACAGAGUACCUGGAAUGCAAGUUUAGCGCUGAGUCGAGGGAAAUAGGCAGGGAUGCGAGGCUUGGAUCACAUGUCAUCCCCAAGAGAGAUAGCUUCAAGUAUCUUGGGUCGAUGAUCCAGGGGGACGGGGAGACUGACGAGGACGUCACUCACCGUAUAGGGGCGGGCUAGAUAAAAUGGAGGCUUGCAUCUAGAGUCUUGUGUGACAAGAAAGUGCCACCGAUACUCAAAGGUAAGUUUUAUAGAGUUGUGGUUAGACCGGCCAUGUUAUAUGGGGCAGAAUGUUGGCCGGUUAAGAAAUCCCAUAUCUAGAGGAUGAAAGUAGUAGAGAUGCGGGUGCUGAGGUGGAUGUGCGGGCAUACUAGGAUAGACAACAUUAGGAAUGAAGAUAUUCGGAAGAAGGUGGACGUCGCCCCAGUGGAGGACAAGAUGCGUAUGGGCGGAGUGUUGGCCGGUUAAGAACUUCCAUAUCCAUAGGAUGAAGGUAACAAAGAUGAGUAUGCUGAGGUGGAUGUGCGAGCACACUAGGAUAGACAAGCUUAGGAAUAAAGAUAUUCGGAAGAAGGUGGACGUGGCCUUCUGUGGAUGUCAAGAUGCGGGAAGCGAGGCUCAGCUGGUUUAGGCACGUGCGUAGGAGAAGCCUUGAUGCUUCGGUGAGGAGGUGUGAGUGGUUGACUGUGGUGGGUACGAGAAAUGGUAGAGGGAGGUCUAAGAAAUAUUGGGGAGAGUUGAGCAGACAAAACAUGGUACGACUGCAGAUUUUCGAGGACAUGGCCCUUGACAGGAAGGUCUGGAAGUCAAGCGUUAAGGUUGUAGGUAGGGGAUAGUAGAGCUUUCCUUACUUCAUACCGGGAGUGAGGCGGGGUUGGAUUAUGCUUGAUCUUAGAUGGCUUGCAGUUUAUGUUGAAUCCACACUAUCCUUGCUGUUUAUCUUAGUCCAAGACGUUAGUUACUAGUUACUGUUAUUGCAUGUUAUUGAUCUUUUGGUUAUUAUGCUUCUGUUACUAUUACGGUUUCUACUGGAGUUACUAAUAAAUUAAUUUUUCUCUUUCUUUUUCUUUUUUCUUCUCUGACCCGAGGAUCUAUCGGAAACAGCCUCUCUGCCCUAUCGGGAUAGGGGUAAGAUCUGCGUACAGAUUAUUCUUCCAAGAUCCCACUUUGUGGGAUUUUAUUGGGUAGUUGUUGUUGUUGUUAUAUGGACCUAUCAACUUAAUUAGAAGUGAAUAUAAGGCUGUCUCUGAAAUCGAGGAGGACAGUGGAAAAGAGUGAUUGGGAAGCUCUUCUCAGGACACCAAAAGGCAUUCUUUAAAACAAGGCAAAUCACUGAUGGUGCACUAAUUGCUAAUGAGGUAUUGGACUGGAGGCAGAAACCAGGUUAAGACAGCGAGUGUGAGGCAUACUUUUCUCCAUUGUGCAGUUGCAACAGAUUGAGUAUGUUCAUUUCAAUUUUUUGACUAGGCUGAGUCAUGCCUAAUUGUAUUAAAGAUGCCUAGGAAAGCUAGUGUUCUUGGAGAGUUGGCAAAUUCAUAAAAAAAAAACCUUAGGUUUUGUUACCUGCUUCUAUGUUUUGGUGCAUAUGGACUGAAAGGAAUAUGAGAUGUUUAGAUAGGAUAACAACUCCAAACCAUGCUCUUAAAGCUAAAUCUUUAUUUAACCUUUUUACUUGGCUUAAUUAGGCACCUGUAUCUAGUUAUGAUCAUUUUUUGGACUGUGUUUGCUCCUUAGUUUUAACAUAGGUUUUUUGUUGAUGUUCAUAGGCAGUCACACUCUAUUUACUUGCACCCUCUUUCGCUAUGCAUCUUCUUGAUGCCUUUAAUGAAAUUCUCUAACUUCAUCAAAAAAUAUAUAGUGUAUGUUUUACCCCCUGUUUGCUCCUUAGUUUUAACAUAGGCUUUUUGUUGAUGUUCAUGAACAAUCACACUCUAUUUACUUGUGCCCUCUUUCGCUAUGCAUUUUCUUGAUGCCUUUAAUUAAAUUUUCUAACUUCAUCAAAAAAAUAUAUAGUGCAUGUUUUACCCCAACUUUGUAUAUCUAUUAUUUCUUUAGAUGCAAUGGGUAUUUGUUUCAACUGUAUAUUUUUUUAUACAAAACAACACAACAUACCCAGUAAUAUCCCACACUAUGGGGUCUGGAGAGGGUAGUGUGUACGGAGACCUUAUCCCUACCUUGUGAGGAUAGAGAGACUGUUUCCACUAGAAACCUCGACUCAGGAAAGUAUAAGCACCAUAUUAAUGAGAAAAUAGACAAGAAAGGAUAGUACUAAAAAGCCAUAUAAAAGAGAAAAAAAAUAACAAGACAAUAAGGUGAUUAGCAAUAAAGAAAACAAUGGUUAGUCAUAAAACCUACUAUCAACAGAAAACGAGACUGCGUGCCAAUACUACUGUGCUGAACACUCCAGACUACCUACUCUACUACUCUAAUCCUCGUCCGCCAUAUCUUCUUAUCAAGGGUCAUGUCCUUGUUCAGCUGAAGCUGUGCCAUGUCUUGCCAACUCAUCUCUCCCUGCCUCUUAUUUGACCUACUUCAACCUCUCCGUAGGCCCUCCAAUGUCAACCUCUCAAACCUCCUCAUCGGCGCGUUUGUGCUCCUCCUCCUCAUAUGACCAAACCACAUAAGCCGUGCUUCCCGCAUCUUGUCCUCAAUAGGGGCCACACCCACCUUGUCACGAAUAAUCUCAUUUCUGAUCCUAUCUAACCUGGUGUGCCCGCACAUCCAUCUCAACAUCUUCAUCUCUGCUACCUUCAUCUUCUGGACAUGAGCGAUCUUAUAAAAAAUGGUAGAAACCCCGUAUACAAGCCAUAUACUAAAAAGAAGAGAACCUACACCAAAAUAUGAUUCUCAACAAAAAACCAUCAAAUCCUCGGUACAAAAAGGGAUCCCAUGAUUACACAGAGAAGUAACAAGAAAUAUAAGACUAUUUUGUAAUUUUACAAAAUCUUGUUCCAUACCUUCGAAUGUGUACUUCUCUUUCCACUCCUGUGAGCCCAGCUAUGCAACGCCUUCUUUACUGUACCCGGCUUUACCCAUUGUGUCCCAAACAAAACCAUCCUUCAUAACUGAUUAUCCACCUAAUAAGAGAUGAUAUACAUUUUUGCCCGAUCUUUUGCACAGGAAACACCAACUAACAUUGAUGAUUUUCCUCUUUCUUUGAUUUUCCGCUGUCAAGAACCAUCCCUAUUGCCGCCAACCCAGCAAACAAACACAUUUUUCUCAAUGCUCAAGGAAUCCAAAUAGAGAAAUGAGGAAAGAUAUGUUCUCCUCUCCCUUGAAGACUCUUAUAGUAAGAUUGAAUAGCCAAUCUCUACUCUCAUGCCACCUCCAUACAUCCAAUGAAAUACUCAGCAUAUCCAACCCAUACUGUAACUCAACCAACAACAACAACAACCAGUAUAAUCCCACUUAGUGGGGUCUGGGGAGGGUAGUGUGUACGCANNNNNNNNNNNNNNNNNNNNNNNNNNNNNNNNNNNNNNNNNNNNNNNNNNNNNNNNNNNNNNNNNNNNNNNNNNNNNNNNNNNNNNNNNNNNNNNNNNNNNNNNNNNNNNNNNNNNNNNNNNNNNNNNNNNNNNNNNNNNNNNNNNUCUUACCCCUACCCUUGGAUAGAGAGGCUGUUUCCAAAUAGACCCCCGGCAUCCUUCCCUCCAAGAACUUCCCACCUUACUCUUAGGGAGACUCGAACUUACAACCUCUCGGUUGGAAGUGGGGGUUUGCUUACCAUCAGAGCAACCCUGUAACUCAACCAUUUUGUGAAAUUCUUUUAUCUCCCAUUCCAGUAGGUUCCUCGUAAAUCUCAAAUACUAAUGAACUUCUCACGGGACCUGCAAAUUUGUUGGACUAUCAUUCCUUUUGGCACGGUACACUAUAUAAGUUAGGGAAUGCUACUUUCAGCUCGAUCUCCUUGCACCACUUUUGUACCCAAAAACUAAUCCUGCUUCCAUCCCCAACCAUGAAGGAGAGUUCUCUAAAAUAUUUGCAACCCGUCAUAAUACUCCUCCAUAAUCUACACCCAAACGGUACUGUGAUUUUCGAGUCCUCCACCCCCUUUCUAUAAUACCGUAGUGUUACGCUACCACCCCUAUCCAAAAUGCAUUCUCCUUCACCCCGAAUUGCCAUAUUUUCGGGGCCAAAUCUUAAAAAGCUUUGUUGGAACUCCGUUAUUUUGAGCCAAACAAAAAAAGUUUUAGCCAAAUAAUGGAGUUCCAUGUGUUUAUUUAUUUUAUUCUUCUUGAGAUGCAAUGAUUAUUCAUUUUGAUUGUGUAUCUGUUUUCCUUUUUGGGACAAAUAUAUAAAGAACGUGGUUGGCACUCUAUUAUUUAUAGUCAAAUAAAAACUUCUUAGUCAAAAUAAUGGAAUUCGAAGGGUGUGUUUCUGUUUAUUGCUUCUUAGUCACAAAGAUUAUUUAUUUCAGCUGUGUACUUUUUUUUCAGGCUAAAUUUGUAAGUAACUCGGCUAGAACUCCAUUACUUUAAGCCAAAUAAGAAAACUUUUAGCCAAAAUGAUUGGGUACCAACCAUGUAUUUCUUAUUGUUCCUUCAUUAGAUGCUAUGACACUGUUUCAAUUGUGUUUUAUUUUCCAAGCCAAACCUGUAAAAAGUUUGGCUCAAACUUCAUUUUUGUCAAAUUAAAAAAUGUUUUAGCCUGUAUUGGAGUCCCAACUAAGUUUCUUCCAAAUUUGGCCCGAAAAGAUGAUUAAAAUAAUUAAUGAAUUUUAAAUGGUAAAAAUAUAUAUAUUAUCUUUAAAAAUGCCACGUGGACAAACAAAUACACGUGAUAGUGCAUAUCUCUCAUAUCCUUGGACUAAGGUCGCCCAUACGGUAAAUGCUGCCAAAUAGCCAAGUCUAGGGGGUUAUUAGGACUACGAAAAGUUUAGAUGUGCACGGAGUAAACCAUACCAAGAUCAGGGGGUAGUUUGGUAUUCUGGCAAAAUAUACUCAAUGAAAUUAUACUUGUUCUUAGAAGGAAAAUAACAUAGUAGCAUGUCCUAUUUAUGUCAUGUUCCCUAAUUUUUGUUAUUUUUUUCUGUUGAUGGUAUGUUUUAGUCUUACCAUCAACAGAACAUAGGAUUUUUUUGACAAGAGGGGUUGCUCUGAUGGUAAGCAACUCCACUUCCAACCGAGAGGUUGUGAGUUCGAGUCUCCCAAGAGCAAGGUGGGAAGUUUUUGGAGGGAAGAAUGUCGAGGGUCUAUUUGGAAACAGCCUCUCUACUCAGGGUAAAGGUAAGGUCUGCGUACAUAUUACCCCUCCUCAGACCCCACUAUGUGGGAUUAUACUGGGUCGUUGUUGUUGUUGUUGUUGAAAAAGUCUCUACAAAGUUCUUUGUUUAGCUUAGGGUGCUUAUUGGGUGGAUAAAUACAUUUAUCAGUUCGACUUAUCGACACUAAGUGGGAUUAUACUGGGUUGUUGUUGUUGUUGGUAUGUUUUAGUCUUAGAUGUGCCAGUGUCUUGAUGGAGCAGAAGCAAUCAAAUAUUAACCAAGAACGGAAGAACUCUUCUUUAAAAUGAAGAUGGAAAACAAGAGAGUAAAUACUAAUAAUCAAUACUCCCUCCGUUUCAAUAUAGAUGAUGUAGUUUGACUUGGCACAAAGUUUAAGAAAAAAAAAAAGAAGACUUUUGAAAUAUGUGGUGCUGAAGCUUAAGAGACAAAAGCUUAGUGAGGCUAUGAUAUUUUGUGUGGCUAUAAAAGCUUCUGAUUAAGGGUAAAGUGAGUAGAACGAAAUGUGUCAUUCUUUUUGGAACGGACUAAUAAGGAAAGUAUGUCAUUUAAAUUGAAACGAAGGGAGUAGUUAAUAAUAAAUAAAGCGGUUAGGUGACUUUUUAAUGCAAACUUCUUCCUGGGCCCCAAAAGGUGCCUUUUCCAAUUACUUAGGAAAAUAACGAAACUCAACCUGAACUAGUAUGCAUACCAGCAACAAAUUUGCAGAAUAGGACCGAAAAGAGAACCGCAUAAAGGAUAAAAGUUUGACCGAAGAACCUAAUAUAACUAAAUGCGAAAAAGGGCCAGACAAUUCGAGGAGGGGUUGCAAGGUGUGCGCUCAUGGAUUCUAUUAAGAGUAUAGAUUCGUCUUAUGAAGACAAGUGCGUGAUUGUGUCCCCCAACUAUGGUGGGAUCAAAAGUAAUGACCAUUUAAGCUCUUAACAACAUAAUGAUUUGAUUUCUAAUGGUCCCAGCUGUCUGUCACG
rnacentral:lncRNA from 1 species